rnacentral:rRNA from 1 species
ACGAACGCUGGCGGCAUGCCUAACACAUGCAAGUCGCACGAAGGCUUCGGCCUUAGUGGCGCACGGGUGCGUAACGCGUGGGAAUCUGCCCUUAGGUUCGGAAUAACAGUUAGAAAUGACUGCUAAUACCGGAUGAUGACGUAAGUCCAAAGAUUUAUCGCCUGAGGAUGAGCCCGCGUAGGAUUAGCUAGUUGGUGUGGUAAAGGCGCACCAAGGCGACGAUCCUUAGCUGGUCUGAGAGGAUGAUCAGCCACACUGGGACUGAGACACGGCCCAGACUCCUACGGGAGGCAGCAGUGGGGAAUAUUGGACAAUGGGCGCAAGCCUGAUCCAGCAAUGCCGCGUGAGUGAUGAAGGCCUUAGGGUUGUAAAGCUCUUUUACCCGUGAUGAUAAUGACAGUAGCGGGAGAAUAAGCCCCGGCUAACUCCGUG